rnacentral:rRNA from 1 species
GGUGAACGCUGGCGGUGGGCCUAACACAUGCAAGUCGAACGGCAGCACCGUACGAGCUUGCUCUUACGGGUGGCGAGUGGCGGGCGGGUGAGGAAUACAUCCUAAUCUACUUUUUCGUGGGGGUUAACGUAGGUAAGCUUAAGCUAGUACAGCAUACGCCCUACGGGUGUAAGCAGUGGAUCUUUGGACCUUGCGCGGUUGAAUGCGCCGAUGUGGGAUUAGCUAGUUGGCGGGGUAAUGGCCCAGCAAGGCGAGGAUCGGUGGCUCGUCGGAGAGGAGGGUCGGCGACACUGGAACUGAGACACGGUCCAGACUCCUAAGGGAGGGACCAGUGGGGAACAGUGGACAAUGGGGGCAAGCCUUAUCCAGCCAUACCGCGUGGGUUAAGAAGGCCUUCGGUGUGGAAAGCCCGUCUUUUGGGAAAGAAAAGCAGCAGGUUAAGACCCAGCGGGUCUGACGGUACCCAAUGAAUAAGCACCGGCUAACUUCGUG